rnacentral:rRNA from 1 species
AGAGUUUGAUCAUGGCUCAGAUUGAACGCUGGCGGCAGGCCUAACACAUGCAAGUCGAGCGGUAGCACAGAGAGCUUGCUCUCGGGUGACGAGCGGCGGACGGGUGAGUAAUGUCUGGGAAACUGCCUGAUGGAGGGGGAUAACUACUGGAAACGGUAGCUAAUACCGCAUAAUGUCGCAAGACCAAAGUGGGGGACCUUCGGGCCUCAUGCCAUCAGAUGUGCCCAGAUGGGAUUAGCUAGUAGGUGGGGUAACGGCUCACCUAGGCGACGAUCCCUAGCUGGUCUGAGAGGAUGACCAGCCACACUGGAACUGAGACACGGUCCAGACUCCUACGGGAGGCAGCAGUGGGGAAUAUUGCACAAUGGGCGCAAGCCUGAUGCAGCCAUGCCGCGUGUGUGAAGAAGGCCUUCGGGUUGUAAAGCACUUUCAGCGGGGAGGAAGGCGUUGAGGUUAAUAACCUUGUCGAUUGACGUUACCCGCAGAAGAAGCACCGGCUAACUCCGUGCCAGCAGCCGCGGUAAUACGGAGGGUGCAAGCGUUAAUCGGAAUUACUGGGCGUAAAGCGCACGCAGGCGGUCUGUCAAGUCGGAUGUGAAAUCCCCGGGCUUAACCUGGGAACUGCAUUCGAAACUGGCAGGCUAGAGUCUUGUAGAGGGGGGUAGAAUUCCAGGUGUAGCGGUGAAAUGCGUAGAGAUCUGGAGGAAUACCGGUGGCGAAGGCGGCCCCCUGGACAAAGACUGACGCUCAGGUGCGAAAGCGUGGGGAGCAAACAGGAUUAGAUACCCUGGUAGUCCACGCCGUAAACGAUGUCGAUUUGGAGGUUGUGCCCUUGAGGCGUGGCUUCCGGAGCUAACGCGUUAAAUCGACCGCCUGGGGAGUACGGCCGCAAGGUUAAAACUCAAAUGAAUUGACGGGGGCCCGCACAAGCGGUGGAGCAUGUGGUUUAAUUCGAUGCAACGCGAAGAACCUUACCUGGUCUUGACAUCCACAGAACUUUGCAGAGAUGGUUUGGUGCCUUCGGGAACUGUGAGACAGGUGCUGCAUGGCUGUCGUCAGCUCGUGUUGUGAAAUGUUGGGUUAAGUCCCGCAACGAGCGCAACCCUUAUCCUUUGUUGCCAGCGGUUCGGCCGGGAACUCAAAGGAGACUGCCAGUGAUAAACUGGAGGAAGGUGGGGAUGACGUCAAGUCAUCAUGGCCCUUACGACCAGGGCUACACACGUGCUACAAUGGCAUAUACAAAGAGAAGCGACCUCGCGAGAGCAAGCGGACCUCAUAAAGUAUGUCGUAGUCCGGAUUGGAGUCUGCAACUCGACUCCAUGAAGUCGGAAUCGCUAGUAAUCGUAGAUCAGAAUGCUACGGUGAAUACGUUCCCGGGCCUUGUACACACCGCCCGUCACACCAUGGGAGUGGGUUGCAAAAGAAGUAGGUAGCUUAACCUUCGGGAGGGCGCUUACCACUUUGUGAUUCAUGACUGGGGUGAAGUCGUAACAAGGUAACCGUAGGGGAACCUGCGGUUGGAUCACCU